GGAAUCUGGGCUUCACACGAUAUGGAAAACUGCUAGCCUGCGUGCUGUGCCCAAGAAGCAGCAUUGGCUCCCAGCCAUCAUGGAAAAAGGCUCCACUGGACAGCUGAAGGAGAAAGUACGGAAGGCCAAUUCCGCAGGCGGGAAGCCAAGAUCCAUGCCAAGUGCCAUCGCUUCAAAGCAAAAGAGCCUAAAAACAGG